GCGGCGAUAGCUCAGUGGGUAAAGCGUCAGGUGAGCAGAUGGCUAUUAGCUAUUAUCUGCGCGGGUUCGAAUCCCGCUUGUGGCA